rnacentral:rRNA from 1 species
AUUGAACGCUGGCGGCAUGCUUUACACAUGCAAGUCGAACGGCAGCGCGGGCUUCGGCCUGGCGGCUAGUGGCGAACGGGUGAGUAAUACAUCGGAACGUGCCCAGUAGUGGGGGAUAGCUCGGCGACAGCCGGAUUAAUACCCCAUACGAGCUUAGGGUGAAAGCGGGGGAUCUUCGGACCUCGCGCGAUUGUAUCUGCCGAUGGCAGGUUAGCGAGUUGUUGGGGUAAAGGCCUACGAAGGCGACGAUCUGUAGCUGGUCUGAGAGGACGACCGGCCACACUAGGACUGAGACACGGCCCAGACUCCUACGGGAGGCAGCAGUGGGGAAUUUUGGACAAUGGGGGGAAGCCUGAUCCAGCAAUGCCGCGUGUGUGAUGAAGGCCUUCGGGUUGUAAAGAACUUUUGGCGGGAACGAAAAGGACUGUGCCAAUACCACGGUUCGAUGACGGUACCCGCAGAAUAAGCACCGGCUAACUACGUG